rnacentral:rRNA from 1 species
AGGACGAACGCUUGCGACGUGCCUAAGAAAUGCAAGUCGAACGGACAGUAGCAAUACUGUUAGUGGCGAACGGUCGCGUAACACGUGGGCAACCUGCCCUGAAGCGGGGGACAACAACUUGAAAGAGUUGCUAAUACCGCAUGUGAAUUGCCUUGGCAUCAAGGCGUAUUCAAAGCCGCAAGGCACUUCAGGAUGGGCCCGCGGCCUAUCAGCUAGUUGGUGAGGUAACGGCCCACCAAGGCUUCGACGGGUAGCUGGUCUGAGAGGACGAUCAGCCGGAUUGGGGACUGAGAUACGGCCCAGACUCCUACGGGGGGCAGCAAUUAGGAAUCUUGCGCAAUGGGCGAAAGCCUGACGCAGCGACGUCGCGUGAAGGAUGAAAUCUUUCGGGAUGUAAACUUCUUUUACCAGGGAAGAAUAAUGACGGUACCUGGUAGAAUAAGCCCGGCUAACUACGUGCCAGCAGCCGC